rnacentral:lncRNA from 1 species
AUUUCCAGGAAUGCUUACUUCUAUAAAUCAUGAGUCUCAGACUUCUUAAUAUGCUUAUAGACUGUAACGAUUAAGCUGUUCAUUGAUCAUAUAUAACUGGACCUGUGUUCCAAAUUCUCUUCAUAUCACAGAUAAACAUUCUCCUGUCUCCGUUUACUGUCUUGAAAAUUAGUAGCGAAAGGAAACAGACGAGAGAACUCUUUUGUUUUAAGUAUAUGCUGAUUGUUGGUCUUUUGUUUCCACCUUCUUUUAGGAAAAUGUCUCCAUCAGACUUUCUCAUUGAAGUUCAUUAUUACAAUCCCUGGUAGGAAAGAAAAAAAAAAUUAAGCUUUAUGUGUUUUUCAUUCUUUUUUUUUUUUAAAUAAACCUCCAUUGUGGUUAUUUUAAAUUUGACUCAUUAAUGUUCCUUAAGAAUCCAUUUGAAAUAGAUUGCACUGAGGCCAGUGAAAAACAAAACCAACCACUUCUUUUUUUUCUGUUUUCUUUUUUUUUAUUGGAUAUUUUAUUGAUUUAUAUUUCAAUUGAUAUUCCUUUUCCAAGUUUCCCCUCUGUAAACUCCCUAUCCCAUCCCACCUCCUCUGUGUCUAUGAGGGUGCUCCCCCAAGCACCCAACCACUCCUACCUCACUGCCUUGGUGUUACCCUACUCUGAGGUAUCAAGCCACCACAGGACCAAGGGCCUCUCCUCCCAUUGAUGCCAGAUAAGGCCAUCCUCUGCUACAUACACAGAUGGAGCCAUGGGUCCCUCUAUGUGUACUCUAGUUGGUGGGUGUUUUAGUCCCUGGGAGCUCUGGGGGGUCUGGUUGGUUGAUACUGUUCUUCUCAUGGGGUUGCAAACCCCUUCACCUCCUUCAGUCCCUUCCCUAAUCCCUCAAUUGGGGUCCCUGUUCUCAGUCCAGUGGUUGGCUGGGAGCAUCCCCAUCUGUAUUUGUCAGGCUCUGUCAGGGUCUCUCAGGAGACAGCUGUAUCAGGUUCCUGUCAGCAAGCACUUCUUGGCAUUUGCAAUAAUGUCUGGGUUUUGGAUAGAUCCCCAGGUGGGGCAGUCUCUGGAUGGCCUUUCCUUCAGUCUCUGCUCAGCACUUUGUCCCAGUAUUUCCUUUAGAGAGGAGCAAUUCUGAGUUAAAAUAAAGUUCGGAGAUGAAUGGGUGGCUUCAUCCCCCAACCAGGGUCUUACCUAACCUCUGGAUAUGGUCUCUACAGGUUCUCCCUCCCCUUUGUUGGGCAUUUCAGCUAAUCUAAUCAUCAUUGGGUCUUGGGGGCCUCUUGCUCUCUUGGCAUCUGGAACUUGCAUGUGGCUACCCCUAGUUCCCCAUCCUCCAUUGCUAGAGACCUCUGUUCAAUUUCUUGACACUCUAUAUGUCAUCCCCUUCUGCUCCCAUACCUGAUCCUGCCCACCUUUCCCCCCUCCUUUACUCCUCCCAAGUUCCUCCCACUCACUACCUUCCUUGAGUAUUCUGUUUCCCCUUCUACAAAGAACUAAAGCAUCCACACUUUGGUCUUCCUUCUUGAGCAUCAUAUUUUCUGUGAGUUGUAUCAUGGGAAUUCCAAACCUUUAGCCUAAUAUCACUAAUAUCACUUAUCCAUGAGCCAAACCCACUUCUUAAUUUGAAAAAAAUGAUAAUAUGAGACAAUUCAUAAUAAUUUACUCAUCUUGUAAAGGACACUCUGACCAGAAGUCUAAGUUCAGAGAAAACUGUGGUUUUAGUUUGAGAGCUGCUUUGCUAGAAGACUGGCAGAGGUCUUUUUUUUAUUAUUAGAUAUUUUCUUCAUUUACAUUUGAAAUGCUAUCUCGAAAGUCCCCUAUACCCUCCCCCCCAUCCUUUUCCCCUACCCACCCACUCCUACUUCUUGGCCCUGGCGUUCCCCUGUACUGGGGCAUAUAAAGUUUGCAAGACCUAGGGGCCUCUCUUCCCAAUGAUGGCCGACUAGGCCAUCUUCUGCUACAUAUGCAGCUAGAGACAUGGGAUCUGGGGGUACUGGUUAGUUCAUAAUGUUGUUCCUCCUAUAGGGUUGCAGACCCCUUCAGCUCCUUGGGUACUUUCUCUAGCUUCUCCAUUGGGGGCCCUGUGUUCCAUCUUAUAGAUGACUGUGAGCCUCCAAUUCUGUAUUUGCCAGGCACUGGCAUAGUCUCUCAGGAGACAGCUAUAUCAGGGCCCUUUCAGGAAAAUCUUGCUGGCAUGUGCAAUAGUGUCUGUGUUUGGUGGCUGAUUAUGGGAUGGAUCCCCGGGUGGGGUAGUCUUUGGAUGGUCCAUCCUUUCAUCUUAGCUCCAAACUUUGGCUCUGUAACUCCUUUCAUGGGUAUUUUGUUCCCUAUCCUAAAGAGGAAUGAAGUAUCCACAUAUUGUCUUCCUUCUUCUUGAUUUUCUUGUGUUUUGCAAAUUGUAUCUUGGGUAUUCCGAGUUUCUGGCAGAGAUCUUAAGAAUUGAAGGAAAUGUGUGAUGUGGGAAGAAGGCUAUCCCCAUUUCACAGAGAACAAAACUGAAAACUCCCAGUUGUAGAGACAUCAAUGUCUUAUGUGAAAUUUGAAGGUAAGAUUGACAGAUGUCAGACAGCUGGGCUUCCACUGAAUUUCUUUUCAUUUGAGAUCCUUCUGUGUUGAAACAAUAUUUUCUGAAAGACAUUUCAUUUAAGCAUGUGUAUGCAAAGACUUUUCAUUGGAUUGACAAUUGUAAUUUACAUACUUGUUUUAUUCUGUAUUAAGCUUUCUGGUGUAUGGUGGUAGGCACUAAUAUAACUGGAGAAAAUACCUGAGUCUUUAUGGUCAUCUGGUAAACACACCAGGAUAAGCCUCAUUGUCCCCAGUAAUAGAUUACAAAACACACUGAAUGAUCAAGGUACUCAACAAAAUCCCAAGACAAUAUGUACAAGAAGUUGAAUUUGAACACAAAUGUUCUAAACGCUGGCUGAAAAUGCAAACAUUUAUUAAGCAUAGGACUGUAUAUUUUAGUCCUAAGUCUUAAGAGAAUUUGAAAUUUUAUUAGUUCACGUGCUAGCAUUGUAUGAAGUAGUAGCUUAAUUGAAUAAGAAUCUAUCUCUUACUUCAGCAUUUUCUACUUUCCAGGUUUUGCAGCAUGAAUACCAAUGCAGACAAUGUUUGAUAUAUUCAUCUUUUGCUUCUGCAGAGCAGGAGAGUAAAAUAUAUUAUAACCAAACAAAUACUGUGGACUCCCCUGGCUGGCUGGAUGGGGCUUGCAUUUGUUAGCAGGCUGUCCCUGGCUUGCAUUUCAUAGAGGGUUCUGGUUUCUUAUUUCAUAGUGCAUUCAACAAUGUCCAGCUGAAGCACAAAGGCAAUGGCCACCCUGUUUAAUCUGAUCCCUUCACUCAAUGCAAAAUAAUUUGUGGUAAAAUAUUCUUUUUCUAUUUGUGGGAUUUCCCCUGUACAUGUUUUUCUUUUGUAAUUUGCUUGUUUUGACACAUGGCCACGUGAAUAGCUUCCACAAGUCUUUCUUCUAAGAAUGUGUAGUUUGCCAGUAUAUGCAAAUUUUUCAGAUGCUAGAAGCAGAAAUGAACAGAGCAGGCUUGAAUAAUAAAUAUUUAAUUCGUUUCUCAUCCUGUUUUGCUUGUUACUUUUAUAGUGAGCAUUGUUCUUUUUUCCUUUUCAAUGGAAUUGUAGUUUCUAAGAUUUGAAGUAUCCACAAAAGAAUAUAUUCCUUUUAGAAUAACUAAAACACUAUGGAGUCUUAAAAUAAGAUAAUAACUAUUAGGUUAUCACCUUUAUUUUCACUGCUGUGUGUGUGCGUGUGAAUGCACACAUACAUGUGCUCAGGUGCAGACUCCAUGUACAUUUCUUGUAUCAUACUCAAAUGAAGUUCCUAUUUGUUAUACGCUAUUUUGUUCAUUGCAGAUUACUGGCCUUUCAAUGUUUAUAACAUCACAUAUUAAGUAAAAUUAAUAUGAUAUGCAUGGAAAUUGGAAUGGCUUGAGAAUUAUGUCCACUCAUCAGAGGCAAAUUGAUAAUCUGAUAUUUUGAGUCAUAAGAAAUGAGAAAAUACACUGAUAUUAAAAUCCUUACAUCUCAUAUUAUUUUCCAUGAGCCAUUUAAUUUUGAAGAGUUAACACUUAUGAAAUACCAAAGUAGAAAAUAAAUUCGUUUUCCAUUACAUGCAAAUUAAAGUUUGAAAACACCAUUAAGCAAAGCCGCACACACGUAAUUAACCACUUAUAAUAUCGUAUACAGCCGUUUAGUUCUCAUGGAGUGAUAUGCAGAAAAGCAGAUGAUAAAACAAAGCAAGGAGGAAAAAAUGCAAAAUGAAGAUCUACCAUUAAGUGUAACUUAAAAAGCAAUUGUAAGGCUGAGCCAAAUGACUAGUCCUGAAAUCUCAGACCACAAGAGGCUAAUCACUGGGGGGUAGGGGUGGGGGGCUGCCAUGAGUGUGAGGCCAGACUGUGUUAUACAAUGUAUUCAUAGCAGCUACAGUGAGAUCUUGAUUCAAAAACAAAACAAAACAAAACACAAUUUAGCUUCCAGAAUAAUCUUAUACACAAAAAAUAUAUGACUGAAACUGUAUUGAUAUAAAUGCAUCAUGUAUCUGAUAAAAUAUAACUAAAGAAGUUAGUAGACUACUUGCCUUAUAGUUCCGUGCUGAACAAAUUGCCUAAUAAUUAUGAGGUCAUAAGUUCAAUUCCCACCACCACAAACACAACACAAACACACACUCACACAUCAGUAGAGUUACUUCCUUUAUUGAACUGUCAUGAUAAAAUAUUCAUCCUUUUGAAACUUGGUCCUAUGUCUAUACCUUUAUUUAUUUUUUUGAAAAACUAUUUUUGUUGGAUAUUUUCUUACUUUUAUUAGAUAUUUUCUUCAUUUACAUUUCAAAUGCUAUCCUGAAAAUCCCCCAUACCCUCCCCCCUGCCCUGAUCCCAAACCCACCCACACCUGCUUCCUGGCCCUGGCACUACCCUGUACUGGGGCAUAUGAUCUUUACAAAACCAAGGGCCUCUUCUCCCAUAGAUGGCUGACUAGGCCGUCUUUUGCUACAGGUACAACUAGAGACACAGCUCUGGGGGGUGCUGGUUAGUUCAUAUCAUUGUUCCUAUUAUAGGGUUGCAGACUCCUUUAGCUUCUUGGGUACUUUCUCUAGCUCCUUCAUUAGGGGUCCUGUGUUCCAUCCAAUAGAUAAUUGUGACCAUCCACUUCUGCAUAUUUUCUUUAUUUACAUUUCAAAUGUUUUCUGCUUUCUGUGUCUCCCCUUCAGAACCUCCUAUAACAUCCUCCCUACCUCUGCCUCUAUGAGGGUGCUUCCCUACCCACCCACCCACUCCUGGCUUUCCUCCCUGGAAUUCCCCUACAUUGGAGAAUGGAACACCCUCAGGACGAAUGACCUCUCCUCCCACAGAUGUACAAGAAGGCCAUUUUCUGCCCCAUAUGCGGCCAGAGCCAUGGGUCUCUCUAUGUGAUCUCUUUAGUUGGUGGUCCAGUCCCCCAGAGGUCUGGGAUAUCUGGCCUGUUGAUGCUGUUGCUCUCCUCAUGGGGCUGCAAAUCCCCUCAACUCUUUCAGUAUCAUCUCCACCUUCUCCAUUGGGGACACCAAGCUCAGUCCAAAGGUUGGCUGCAAGCAUCCACCUCUGUAUUUGUCAGGCUUUGGCACAGCCUCUCAGUAGACAGCCAUAACAGGCUCCCAUCAGAAAACACUUCCUGGCAUCCACAAUAGCUUCUGGGUUUGGUAGCUGUACAUAGGAUGGAUCCUCGGGUGGGGCAGUCUCUGGAUGGCCUUUUCUUCAUCCUCUGCUCCAUACUUUGUCUCCAUAUUUUCUCCUGGGAGUAUUUCAUUCACUCUUCUAAGAAGCACUGAAGUAUCCACAUUUUGGUCUUCCUUCUUACUGGGCUUCAUAUGAUUUAUGAAUUGAAUCCUGGAUAUUCUGAACUUUUGAGCUAAUGUCCACUUAUCAAUGAGUACAUACCAUUGUGAUCUUUUGUGACUGAGUUACCUCACUCAGGAUGAUAUUUUCAAGUUGCUUUCGGCCAGGUGGCCAUUUUUACUAUAUUAAUUAUGCCAAUCCAUGAGCAUGGGAGAUCUUUUCAUCUUCUGAGGUCUUCUUUGAGGUAUUUACUCAGAGACUUGGAAUUCAUGUCAUACAGAUCUUUCACUUGUUUGCUUAGAGUCACAUAAAGAUAUUUUAUAUUGUUUGUGACUAUUGUAAAGAAUGUCGUUUCCCUAAUUUCUUUCUCAGCCCAUUUGUCCCAUUUGUUGUAGGAAUUCUCUAAUAGAAUUUUUGGGGUCACUUAAGUACACUAUCAUAUCAUCGACAAAUAGUGAUAUUUUGACUUCUUUCUUUCCAAUUUCUAUAUCUUUAUAAUUCAGAGAUGUAUUUCUUAGAAUGUUUUGCUGAGUGUGAAAAUAACUCUGAUUGAUUUAUGGAAAUUCAAAAGCUGGGCUUAUUUUAAGCAGGUCCUUGAAAACAAUGUUCUAAACUUGUAUUUAUAUUUAAAUAAAACCAAUUGUCAUAUAAGUAUCUAUAUUAAUGUAAUCUAUUAAGAUAUUGAAAUCUUCUCCUUACAUAAUCUGAAAUAGAUUUUUAAAACUCAUUUUUUUGAGCCCUGUCUUUCUGUGAACUUUUCUCUUAGAUAUUACCUACUGAUGUAAAUUACCUUAAUUAUGUAUUUCCUGAGCAUUUACAAAAUUGGCUUCUGCAAUUUUUAGUGUCAUGAUAAGCAGUAAAUAAGCUUUACAGAAGUAAGUCCUAGGAAACCUAUCUGAAGCAGGCAGAAAGUGAGAGCAGGAACAGUAUUGCAGCACAUGGUAAGAACAUGUCUGUGGGUAUAUACUCUGAGGUUCUUUGGUCACACACACACACACACACACACACACCUGUAUCAGCAGAUGCACAGGUAUAAGGCGAGAUGGCCUAGUAGAUCAAGGUGUUUUUUACAUUGUUACUAAGCAGGAAGAACAUGGGACUUCUGGGGUAGAAGGAGAGAACUAAAUUUACCAGGUUUUUAUCUGGCCUGCACAUGCUUACCACAAAAUGCUGCACAUAAUACAUGAAAAAUAAAUAAAAACUGUAAAAGAAUACUGUAGCCACCAUUUGUAGUAGCAGAAAACAUUUUAUUUUAUGAAAACAGAACACAGAGAGAAGAAAUUAGAGUGGUGUACUAAUCUGACACCAAAAGUGGCAUGGUGGCACAGCAGUUAGUGCUCCAGCCUCUUGGGAGCCUCAAUGAGGUCAGGAGUUUCCACUGUCACUUUGUGAUAGCACAGUGUGACUCUGAUGAGGAUCCACCUUUGCAAAGAAACUAAACAUUUAUAGAUGGGAGUAGUCAUCUAGAUGCAUAGAAAUGUUUAACCUUAAUCCAGGGCUUCUACCCCCACUUUGAACUUUCAAUUUCCAUAUAAAAGACACCCGGCAGGAAGGCAGGAGUGGAUGGGUGGGUGAUGGAGUACUGGCAUGAGGUAGGGGAAGGGAGGAUGGGAUGGGGUUUCCGGAGGGGAAACCUGGAAAGGAGAUAACAUUUGAAAUGUAAAUAAAUAAAAUAUCCAAUUUAAAAAAAGGCACAUGCUAUUUGCAUUUAUAGUAAGCCUUAAUCAGUACUAGUGCUGGGUAGAUAACUACCCUUGAUGCUAUUAGAAUCUCUUUCCCCAUCCAUAACACCAAGGUUUAAUUUGCCAUGCUCCAUCUGGGCAGCUCUUAACUCCAACUGGUCAACUCUCUUUGUCAUGUUUUUAUGAUUCACCUGCCCCACGGUAUCUUCCUCUUCUCUCUAUCUUUUCUCUCCCUCAUGGUUUUUUACUGACCCAAAACUCCACCUAUGUCAAUUCUGGCCAUCUAUAGGCUAUAGGCAUUUUUAUUUACCAAUUAGGGAUAACUUGGAGGAGGGGAGGGCAAGGUCACAUAGUGUCACUUGGGAAUAUGUGCAAAUUCUCUAGUCUUUGUGGGCAACCAGGCCCUGUGGGCCAGUAUUAAGCAUUCCAAUGUAUUGCAAAAGACAAAAUCUUAGCAUAGAUGUUUUUGCAAGUGGGCAAUGUUUUAACCUAAAUACUACAAGAUGAUUCAAAGAUAAUGUUUAAGUAGUACUUUAAUUGAUUGGCAUUUACUGCAUUUACCUAGUAACUAUGCACAUGUGUAUUUAUUGGAAAUACAUUUACAUAGAUUUAAUCUGUUUACAUAGGUGUUAGUCUGGCCAGAUAACAUUAAUAGUUUUUAGUCUCUUAAAAUUUCAAAAUUCUAAUUACAAAAAUGACAUUGAGAUUGUGAAUAUCUAAUGCAAGUUUCCUAUAUCUAUUCAAAGCUAUUAUACAUCAAAUGUGUUAACUGCUUCACACUCCUACUCCAUUAAACUGAUAUACUAAGAGAACAUUCUUACAGAGCUUAAGUAGUGCUUGGAAGGGUUAUACUGAAAGAGAUACUGAGAAAUGUUUGCAUAGGUGAAGUUUUUAAGACAGGAAGAAUAUGAAGUAUAUAUUGUUCCUGAAUUUACCAUUGGUAUACUGUGAUAUUAUUUGCUGUAGACAACCGUAAUGGAACAAUCUAAAGGUAUAUCACAUGUUCCCCAAAAUACAAAAGUGUGUAUGAACUUCUGCUGAGAACGUCCAACACUGGUGGAAACUUGUGUUCCUUUUCAGUGUCUUGAUCCAGUGCAGAAGGAACCUCAAACUUAGAAUGAAACUUAACACUGUGAUAGUAUUUCAUCCACUGCCAAUCACAGAAAGAUACCUGAUAUCUAUGUUAAUCAUAUGGUUUUGAUUGUCACAAAGAAUGUUUAAAAUAUGCCACUAUCAAAAAUGUUUGAGAAGACAGUUUCAAGUGUGUAUUUUUGUGUCUCUCUGUGUAUAUGUACAUGUGUGUAUGGGGGGGCAUAUGCAUUCAUGCGUAUGUGCCUGUGAAAUCUAUUUGCACAACAGGUCCAUAACACUAAAAAUUGUGUGCCUUAUUUUUAUAACUCAUUUGCCCUUUCUCAGUUACUCUCUAAAUCAUAAUUAGGUUAGGAAGGGUCUUCUACAUUCUGUAGCAUCACCAUUUCAUUGAUUUAAAAGGACAAAACUGAUCAUUUUUAGCUCAGAAGCUGAGUCAAGAACCAAUCUAUUGAAAAGAUGCUUAUAUUUUGUUUCAUCCUUAUGCUCUUCCAAUUUUAGAACCAAGUGACUAUCUACAUAGCCUGAGUAUAAACAGAUAAAGUAUGGUUUAGUCCAGGAAUCAUGGCA